UCAGAGAGAGAAGGGAGGAAGAAUGAAGGUGAAUCAGAGAGAGAAGGGAGGAAGAAACCAGGUGAAUCAGAGAGAGAAGGGAGGAAGAAUGAAGGUGAAUCAGAGAGAGAAGGGAGGAAGAAUGAAGGUGAAUCAGAGAGAGAAGGGAGGAAGAAACCAGGUGAAUCAGAGAGAGAAGGGAGGAAGAAACCAGGUGAAUCAGAGAGAGAAGGGAGGAAGAAAUCAGGUGAAUCAGAGAGAGAAGGGAGGAAGAAUGAAGGUGAAUCAGAGAGAGAAGGGAGGAAGAAUGAAGGCGAAUCAGAGAUAGAAGGGAGGAAGAAUGAAGGCGAAUCAGAGAGAGAAGGGAGGAAGAAUGAAGGUGAAUCAGAGAGAGAAGGGAGAAAGAAACAAGGAGAAUCAGAGAGAGAAGGGAGGACGAAUGAAGGUGAAUCAGAGAGAGAAGGGAGGAAGAAACCAGGUGAAUCAGAGAGAGAAGGGAGGAAGAAACAAGGUGAAUCAGAGAGAGAAGGGAGGAAGAAACCAGGUGAAUCAGAGUGAGAAGGGAGGAAGAAACAAGGUGAAUCAGAGCGAGAAGGGAGGAAGAAUGAAGGUGAAUCAGAGAGAGAAGGGAGAAAGAAACAAGGAGAAUCAGAGAGAGAAGGGAGGACGAAUGAAGGUGAAUCAGAGAGAGAAGGGAGGAAGAAUGAAGGUGAAUCAGAGCGAGAAGGGAGAAAGAAACAAGGAGAAUCAGAGAGAGAAGGGAGGACGAAUGAAGGUGAAUCAGAGAGAGAAGGGAGGAAGAAACCAGGUGAAUCAGAGAGAGAAGGGAGGAAGAAACAAGGUGAAUCAGAGAGAGAAGGGAGGAAGAAACCAGGUGAAUCAGAGUGAGAAGGGAGGAAGAAACAAGGUGAAUCAGAGCGAGAAGGGAGGAAGAAUGAAGGUGAAUCAGAGAGAGAAGGGAGGAAGAAACCAGGUGAAUCAGAGAGAGAAGGGAGGAAGAAACAAGGUGAAUCAGAGAGAGAAGGGAGGAAAAAUGAAGGUGAAUCAGAGAGAGAAGGGAGGAAGAAUGAAGGUGAAUCAGAGAGAGAAGGGAGGAAGAAACCAGGUGAAUCAGAGAGAGAAGGGAGGUAGAAACAAGGUGAAUCAGAGAGAGAAGGGAGGAAGAAACCAGGUGAAUCAGAGAGAGAAGGGAGGAAGAAACCAGGUGAAUCAGAGAGAGAAGGGAGGAAGAAUGAAGGUGAAUCAGAGAGAGAAUGGAGGAAGAAUGAAGGUGAAUCAGAGAGAGAAGGGAGGAAGAAACAAGGUGAAUCAGAGAGAGAAGGGAGGAAGAAUGAAG